rnacentral:ncRNA from 1 species
CGUUAGCGUGGACGGACAUGACCGGUGGCGCGCUGCGGAAAUUCGGGUGACCCACGGGGUAGGGUCGAGAUAGUCCGGCGCGAUGGCGAAGACAGAGCCGCGACCGGGUGUCUACUGGAU